ACGGAAGGCAGCAGUGGGGGAUAUUGCACAAUGGAGGAAACUCUGAUGCAGCAACGCCGCGUGAGGGAAGAAGGUCUUCGGAUUGUAAACCUCUGUUUUUAGUGACGAAACAAAUGACGGUAGCUAAAGAGGAAGCCACGGAUAACUACGUGCCAGCAGCCGCGGUAAUACGUAGGUGGCAAGCGUUGUCCGGAUUUACUGGGUGUAAAGGGUGCGCAGGCGGGACUGCAAGUUGGAUGUGAAAUGCUGAGGCUCAACCUCAGAACUGCAUCCAAAACUGUAGUUCUUGAGUGGGGUAGAGGUAAGCGUAAUACCGAGUGUAGCGGUGAAAUGCGUAGAUAUUAGGAGGAACACCAGUGGCGAAGGCGGCUUACUGGGCUCUAACUGACGCUGAGGCACGAAAGUGUGGGUAGCAAACAGGAUUAGAUACCCUGGUA
rnacentral:rRNA from 1 species